rnacentral:rRNA from 1 species
UAGAUGCGAGAGUAGAGCAUAUCAAUAAGCGGAGGAAAAGAAACUAACAAGGAUUCCCUUAGUAACGGCGAGUGAAGCGGGAAGAGCUCAAAUUUGAAAUCUUCAAGGUUUUACCUUGACGAAUUGUAGUUUAAAGAAGUGUUUUCUGUUGGAGUUUUGGUAAAAGUUCUUUGGAAUAGGACAUCAUAGAGGGUGAGAAUCCCGUAUUUGACCAUUAUUUCCAGCUGUGUGAUACACUUUCAAAGAGUCGGAUUGUUUGGGAAUGCAGUCCAAAAUGGGUGGUAAAUUUCAUCUAAAGCUAAAUAUUGGCGAGAGACCGAUAGCGAACAAGUACCGUGAGGGAAAGAUGAAAAGAACUUUGAAAAGAGAGUUAAACAGUACGUGAAAUUGUCAAAAGGGAAGCGUUUGACACCAGUGUUGUUUUCUCGAAAAUCAAUUAAAAAUGAUGGGAUUUUGUGUUGUAUUGACUUUAUCAGCUUUCUGCACUUUUUUCUUAUCUUUUUUAAUGCACUUUUCGUUUAACAAGUCAACAUCAAUUUCUUUUGUUGUAAAAGAGUCAUUGGAAGGUGGCUUUUUCUUCGGAAAAAGUGUUUAUAGCCUUUGGCUUCUGCAAUCGGAGAGAUUGAGGUCUGCAGCGUAGAUCCUUCGGGGUUAGAUACAUUUGUGCUAAGCUAUAGUUCUUUAUAGACAACCUGUUGACUAUAAUCAAUCCUGUAACUUACUCGCUUAUGCUAUUUUACCUACGCUUAGGAUGUUGACGCGCGUGUGUGCGUG